UGAGGAAUAUUGGUCAAUGGGCGGAAGCCUGAACCAGCCAUCCCGCGUGAAGGAAGAAGGCCUUAUGGGUUGUAAACUUCUUUUCUGUUUGAAGAAUAAGCUUGUCGAGACAAGUGAUGCCGGUAGGACAGGAAUAAGCAUCGGCUAACUCCGUGCCAGCAGCCGCGGUAAUACGGAGGAUGCAAGCGUUAUCCGGAUUUAUUGGGUUUAAAGGGUGCGCAGGUGGUUUAAUAAGUCAGUGGUGAAAGUCUGCCGCUUAACGGUAGGAUUGCCAUUGAUACUGUUGGACUUGAAUAUGGAUGAGGUAGGCGGAAUGUGUAGUGUAGCGGUGAAAUGCUUAGAUAUUACACAGAACACCGAUUGCGAAGGCAGCUUACUAAUCCAUGAUUGACGCUGAGGCACGAAAGCGUGGGGAUCAAACAG
rnacentral:rRNA from 1 species